UACGUAGGGUGCAAGCGUUGUCCGGAAUUAUUGGGCGUAAAGAGCUCGUAGGCGGUUUGUUGCGUCGGCUGUGAAAACCUGGGGCUCAACCCCGGGCCUGCAGCCGAUACGGGCAAGCUAGAAUUCGGUAGGGGAGACUGGAAUUCCAGGUGUAGCGGUGAAAUGCGCAGAUAUCAGGAGGAACACCGGUGGCGAAGGCGGGUCUCUGGGCCGAAAUUGACGCUGAGGAGCGAAAGCGUGGGGAGCAAACAGG
rnacentral:rRNA from 1 species